UACGUAGGGGGCUAGCGUUGUCCGGAUUUAUUGGGCGUAAAGAGCGUGUAGGCGGUUUGGUAGGUCCGCUGUGAAAACUCGAGGCUCAACCUCGAGACGCCGGUGGAAACCAUCAGACUAGAGUCCGGAAGAGGAGAGUGGAAUUCCCGGUGUAGCGGUGAAAUGCGCAGAUAUCAGGAAGAACACCCGUGGCUAAGGCGGCUCUCUAGUACGGUACUGACGCUGAGACGCGAAAGCGUGGGGAGCGAACAGG
rnacentral:rRNA from 1 species